rnacentral:rRNA from 1 species
AGAGUUUGAUCCUGGCUCAGAUUGAACGCUGGCGGCAUGCUUUACACAUGCAAGUCGAACGGCAGCACGGGUGCUUGCACCUGGUGGCGAGUGGCGAACGGGUGAGUAAUGCACCGGAACGUACCCAGUAAUGGGGGAUAACACAUCGAAAGAUGUGCUAAUACCGCAUACGCCCUGAGGGGGAAAGCGGGGGAUCGUAAGACCUCGCGUUAUUGGAGCGGCCGAUGCAGGAUUAGCUAGUUGGUGAGGUAAGAGCUCACCAAGGCGACGAUCCGUGGCUGGUCUGAGAGGACGACCAGCCACACUGGGACUGAGACACGGCCCAGACUCCUACGGGAGGCAGCAGUGGGGAAUUUUGGACAAUGGGCGCAAGCCUGAUCCAGCCAUGCCGCGUGAGUGAAGAAGGCCUUCGGGUUGUAAAGCUCUUUCGCAAGGAAAGAAAACUUAUCU